rnacentral:rRNA from 1 species
GUGGGGAAUUUUGGACAAUGGGCGAAAGCCUGAUCCAGCCAUGCCGCGUGCAGGAUGAAGGCCUUCGGGUUGUAAACUGCUUUUGUACGGAACGAAAAGACUCCUUCUAAUAAAGGGGGUCCAUGACGGUACCGUAAGAAUAAGCACCGGCUAACUACGUGCCAGCAGCCGCGGUAAUACGUAGGGUGCAAGCGUUAAUCGGAAUUACUGUGCGUAAAGCGUGCGCAGGCGGUUAUAUAAGACAGAUGUGAAAUCCCCGGGCUCAACCUGGGAACUGCAUUUGUGACUGUAUAGCUAGAGUACGGUAGAGGGGGAUGGAAUUCCGCGAGUAGCAGUGAAAUGCGUAGAUAUGCGGAGUAACACCGAUGGCGAAGGCAAUCCCCUGGACCUGUACUGACGCUCAUGCACGAAAGCGUGGGGAGCAAACAGGAUUAGAAACCCGGGUAGUCC